rnacentral:rRNA from 1 species
ACGAUGGACAUUGCAAAGAGUGGCGAACGGGUGAGUAACACGUGGGAAACCUACCUCUUAGCAGGGGAUAACAUUUGGAAACAGAUGCUAAUACCGUAUAACAAUAGCAACCGCAUGGUUGCUACUUAAAAGAUGGUUCUGCUAUCACUAAGAGAUGGUCCCGCGGUGCAUUAGUUAGUUGGUGAGGUAAUGGCUCACCAAGACGAUGAUGCAUAGCCGAGUUGAGAGACUGAUCGGCCACAAUGGGACUGAGACACGGCCCAUACUCCUACGGGAGGCAGCAGUAGGGAAUCUUCCACAAUGGGCGAAAGCCUGAUGGAGCAACGCCGCGUGUGUGAUGAAGGGUUUCGGCUCGUAAAACACUGUUGUAAGAGAAGAAUGACAUUGAGAGUAACUGUUCAAUGUGUGACGGUAUCUUAC